rnacentral:rRNA from 1 species
GAUAAUAAAUAAGAUCGCAUGAUCAGCUUUUGAAAGGCGGCGUAAGCUGUCGCUAAGGGAUGGCCCCGCGGUGCAUUAGCUAGUUGGUAAGGUAACGGCUUACCAAGGCGACGAUGCAUAGCCGAGUUGAGAGACUGAUCGGCCACAUUGGGACUGAGACACGGCCCAAACUCCUACGGGAGGCAGCAGUAGGGAAUCUUCCACAAUGGACGCAAGUCUGAUGGAGCAACGCCGCGUGAGUGAAGAAGGUUUUCGGAUCGUAAAGCUCUGUUGUUGGUGAAGAAGGAUAGAGGUAGUAACUGGCCUUUAUUUGACGGUAAUCAACCAGAAAGUCACGGCUAACUACGUGCCAGCAGCCGCGGUAAUACGUAGGUGGCAAGCGUUGUCCGGAUUUAUUGGGCGUAAAGCGAGCGCAGGCGGAAAAAUAAGUCUAAUGUGAAAGCCCUCGGCUUAACCGAGGAACUGCAUCGGAAACUGUUUUUCUUGAGUGCAGAAGAGGAGAGUGGAACUCCAUGUGUAGCGGUGGAAUGCGUAGAUAUAUGGAAGAACACCAGUGGCGAAGGCGGCUCUCUGGUCUGCAACUGACGCUGAGGCUCGAAAGCAUGGGUAGCGAACAGGAUUAGAUACCCUGGUAGUCCAUGCCGUAAACGAUGAGUGCUAAGUGUUGGGAGGUUUCCGCCUCUCAGUGCUGCAGCUAACGCAUUAAGCACUCCGCCUGGGGAGUACGACCGCAAGGUUGAAACUCAAAGGAAUUGACGGGGGCCCGCACAAGCGGUGGAGCAUGUGGUUUAAUUCGAAGCAACGCGAAGAACCUUACCAGGUCUUGACAUCUAGUGCAAUCUGUAGAGAUACGGAGUUCCCUUCGGGGACGCUAAGACAGGUGGUGCAUGGCUGUCGUCAGCUCGUGUCGUGAGAUGUUGGGUUAAGUCCCGCAACGAGCGCAACCCUUGUUAUUAGUUGCCAGCAUUAAGUUGGGCACUCUAAUGAGACUGCCGGUGACAAACCGGAGGAAGGUGGGGAUGACGUCAAGUCAUCAUGCCCCUUAUGACCUGGGCUACACACGUGCUACAAUGGGCAGUACAACGAGAAGCAAGCCUGCGAAGGCAAGCGAAUCUCUGAAAGCUGUUCUCAGUUCGGACUGCAGUCUGCAACUCGACUGCACGAAGCUGGAAUCGCUAGUAAUCGUCCCAGUCC